CUGGUUUUAGAAUGUAGUAAUUACACAUUCAAACAUUAUUUGGUAUCUUUUAUUUUCUACACAUGUUCUUGAAGCUUAUUUGAUGUAAGGGAAGUCUUACAAUGAAGUGGGAGAAACUUUGCUAUAGUUAAAUAAUACAAGGAGGCAGCAGAACCUGGAGGGGAACCGGGACAAGCCGCAGCAGAGUGGGACCCUCAGAAUUCUUGUAGGAACAUACAGGAAGACAUCUGGGAGUUGGCCAGUUCUCAGUUGUCUGCCAGACGAGAUAGUUUUUCUUCUUCCCUGCAUGCUGGAACCUGUUUCCCCUUAUGUCCUUCCUUACCACAUGGUUUUCCGUGGGCAUCACUCACCUGGGUUCCAUUAGGGUGCCACUCCCCCAGUGUUUCUCAGGAGCAUUUUUUUUUAAGUCUGAUAAUUUUAACACAUCUACAUUUUGACUGAUGCUGUUCGUCAGUCCUCAGAGUUCAGAAAACCACAAGAAUAGCUGGGCUUUGGAGUCAAGCCUGACUUUGUUCUGGGUGAUUUUGAAGAAGUUACUUAAUAUCUGAGCUUCAGUUUUUUCAUUUAUAAAAAUUAACACAUAGUUUAGAGGGUUGUAAGGUUUAUUUUAAAAUAAAUAUUUAGAGCACUGAUUUGUCUGAGAACUCAUGCAAGCUAGCAAACCUGUCAGAAGGCCUUAUGUUGGAAAUAAAGUGCUGGGCAUCAACGUAUACUCUAAACUUUAUGGAAGUAGCUUAUGAAAAGGCCAGAGAAAAUGUGGAUGAUGCUGUGUUCAUUUAAAAGGAAGAUGAGUGGGGACAUCUCAAAAAUAAGCUCUGGAAUAGAAGGAAAAUAGGGGACCCAGUAAUGACACAGCUUCAGAUGUGUAUAUGCGAGGUACCAGGUCAUACAUAGAGCUUAGACAUGUUAACAUAAGGACAUAAACAUAACUGUCAAAAUCUGAGAUGCUAUUUGUUACUAGGGUACAAAAAUACACUGUUCAAAAGAAAUGGGUCUAAUAAAGGUGGGAAACUAUAUCAAGAAUACACAAAGGGAACUUAGACCUGAGAGGGAAAGUAAAUGAGGAGUAUGUGAAUAAUGAAAAAAGACAAAAAUAUGAUUGUCAGGUUAUAUUGUACUUUUUCUUCAUCAGAUUAAGGCUAUGGAUUUCUGUUCUGAAUCUGCAACAGGAAAACACAGAGACAAGACAUGGUAGUGAUGCAGUAGUUGGGCUAUAAAAGACCUUGCUGGGUGUCUUGUUUGCUAAGAGUCCGAUUAACUCUUGACUUGCUGAUAAUGCCAUCCCAUUAGGUUACCAGAAGUAACAAAACUGCUGCUCUGGGAUUCAUUUUGGCCCCGUGGGAAAGAAUGAUUCUAGAGGAAAUGUUAGGAGCCUGCAGCGAACAUAGGUGUGCACUCAAAUGUUAGUAAUGAUGAGACUAAGGCAGACACUGGUGGUUGCUUCUCCAGCAUCGCUGCUGCUUCCUUGCCAGGAUAUUGAGGAGUAACUGCUUUCCCCCACCUUGUGGCUUAGGGAAGUAGGACGUUAUCCCAGCUCUGUCACCUUUGGUGUAAUUGCUUUAGAAGUGGCCAUGGGACUCCAUCCUGGCAAAGGAGACAUGAGGAAACUCUGCUGAGGGUGUUUCUGGGGAAAGUUCCUUCACUCCCAAGGAGACCUUGCAAGAGACUCUUUUUGCCUGUUUACAUUAUUUUGCCUGAACUUGAUGACUGAAACUGCUAUAGCCACAUUUGGACCCAGAAGGGAGCUAACCUGAGGGCAAAGCCAGCACAUUGAAGCUGUAGAGGAGAAAGGAAAAAACCUGCCCUUGCAGAGCUGCUGAUUCUUUUUUAGCUUUUAAGUUCAGGCGCACAUGUGCAGGUUUGUUAUAUAGGUAAACUCAUGUCACAGGGGUUUGUUAUACAGAUUAUUUCUUCACCCGGGUAUUAAGUCUAGUACCCAUUAGUUAUUUUUCCUGAUCCUCUCCCUCCCACCUUCUACCCUCUGGUAGGCCCCAGGGUCUGUUUUUCCCCUCUAUGUGUCCAUGUGUUCUUAUCAUUUAGCUCCUACUUAUAAGUAAGAACAUGCAGCAUUUGGUUUUCUGUUCCUGCAUUAGGUUCAUAAGGAUAAUUAUCUCCAGCUCCAUCCCUGUCCCUGCAAAGGACAUGAUCUUAUUCUUUUUUCAUGGCUGCAUAGUAUUCCAUGCUGCCUAUGUACCACAUUUUCUUUAUCCAGUCUACCACUGAUGGGCAUUUAGGUUGAUUCCAUGUCUUUUCUGUUGGGAAGAGUGCUGCAUGAACACAUGCAUGCAUGUAUCUUUAGGAUAGAACGAUUUAUAUUCCUUUGCAUAUAUACCCAGUAAUGGGAUUGCUACGUCGAAUAGUAUUUCUGUUUUAAGUGUUUGAGGAAACGCCACACUUUUCCACAAUGGUUCAACUAAUUUACACUCCCACCAACAGUGUAUAAGUGUUCCCUUCUACACAACCUCUCCAGAAUGUGUUAUUUUUUGACUUUAGUUACCUUUCAUUAUUUUUGAGACAGGGUCUCACUCUGGCCCAGGAUGGAGUGCAGCGGCGUGAGCUUGGCUCACUGCAACCUCUGCCUCCUGGACUCAAGUGAUCCUCCCACCUUAGCCUCGUGAGUAGCUGGGGCUACAGGCUUGUGGCUGGCUAAUUUUUUAUAUUUAUAGGGAUGAGGUUUCUCCAUGUUGCCCAGGCUGGUCUCAAACUCUCAUGCUCAAGCAAUCCACCAGCCUCAGCCUCCCAAAGUGCUGGGAUUACAGGCAAGAGCCACCACACCCAGCCAAUAUUUGACUUUUAAUAAUAGCCAUUCUGACUGUUGUGAAAUGGUAUUUCAUUGUGGUUUUGAUUUGCAUUUCUCUAAUGAUCAGCGAUGAGCUUUUUUUAUACACUUCUUGGCCACGUGUAUGUUCUCUUUUGAAAAGUGUUCAUGUCUUUUGCCCAUUUUUUAAUGGGGUUGUUUAUUUUAUUCUUGUAAAUUUGUUUAAGUUCCUGAUGGAUGCUAGAUAUGAGACCUUUGUCAGAUGCAUAGUUUACAAAAUUUUUCUCCCAUUCUGUAGCUUGUCUGUUUACUCUGUUAAUAGUUUCUUUUCCUGUGCAGAGGCUCUUAAGUUUGAUUAAAUCCCAU
rnacentral:lncRNA from 10 species